AGAAGAGGGAACAAGCCCUAUAAGAUUCCUGCCUUGGGCUCAGCACAGGACAGCACCAGGUGUUUGGAUCUUGAAAUUGCGCAGAAAGAGAGCAACCUUCAGCAGCAAUUCUCAGCAGCUCAAGCAAAGCAUACUCAUGGACUUUGCAGAGAGCUGAAGAGCAGCUGCUUUCCUUCGUAGUCACUUCAGAAGGCCCUGACCUCCUCCUGAGGGGACCCCAGACCAGGAACUCACCAUGAGAGAGCUUGCUGUCAAUGAAGCUUCUCAGCUUUUUACUGGCAUGAGCAAUUUUAAGUUUGGAUUGUGCAACUGGCUCUGGGCUUCAGCACAUGGCCCAGCAAAAGCCUGGAAUGGACUCCCUCCCGAAGUUAAAUCCCUCCAGGAUUAAAUGAUCAUAGUCAUUUAAUCCUCUGGAUAUUCUGGGGAGAAAGAGGGACAGAAGAAGUCUUCUGGAAGCUGCUCUGCUGCAGAUCAAGCCUGACUAUAUCUUUCCUGCUUUGCUGAGAUGAAAGCCUUCGCUCACUUCUCCAGGUACACAGCAAGCAAUAACAGUGGAAGAGGAACCUGGCCAUGUGGGCCCCUUGCCGUACUCCCCACACCAGGAGGUUGUGCAACCUCUGGCAUGUUCAUGUGACCGUUGCGCCACACAAAUGAAAAACCAGGACAAGACUGACCAGCCAUGUUUCUGGAGUCGAGGGCUCCUCUGCGAGGGGCACCAUCUGGACACAGCAAGAAGGCAGCUGUCCGUAAGCCAGGAAGCAGGCCGUCCCGAGGACCCCAACCAGCCGGCACCUUGAUCUUCCAGCCUCCAGAACGGUGAGAAACCGGCGUCUAUGAUUUAAGCUGCCCAGGCUGUGGUAUUUUGUUACACAGCCCAAACUAAGUCAGGUCCCACAUUAAGUGGACUUUAAGACACAAAGAUUAUCCAGGUUGGCCUGACCCCAUCAGAAGAACCCUCUAAAAGCAUAAAUUUUUCUUUGCCUGGUAGCAGAAGGGGAAGUUAGAGAAAUCUGAAGAGUGAGGGAGAUUCUGUGUGAGGGACAUGCGGCCUGGUGAUCCAGCCACCUGCUGCAUGUCAUGGGGGGCCUGUGAACAGGAAGGAAAUGCAGGUGGCGGCUAGGAUGACGGCCAUCUGAACGAGCUGGGGAAGCAGCUGAGCAACAGUCGGUGUGUGAGACCCCGAGCAGGAGACCUGGUUGAGCCAUGACAGACUUCUGACCUACAGAAACUGUGCAAUAAACGGGUAUUGUCUUCUUAUAAGCCACCAAGUUUAUGUAACUUGUUACACAGUGAUAGCAAACUGUAACAGCACAUGACCUAAAAGGGGCCACUUAAUCUUUCUGAGCCUCCAUUGCCUCAUCCAGAAAAUUCACAGGGCUGUUGUGGAUAAGAGGCCAUUGGGUGUGCAGACAAAGCCCUGGACUGGGGACCAGAGGGCCAGAAUCUGCUACUUGUGCCAUGUUGAGCAAGUCAUGUCACUUAGACUCAUUUUCCUCCCCUCUGCAAUCCAGGCAACAGCAGCUAUUUCUUCGUAACUGAGUAGUAGCCAGACAUAUAGCCACUCAACCAGAUUACAGUUCCCAGAGCCCCUUGCAACUAGCUGUGGCCCCAUGACAAGGUUUCACCAAUGAACCAUAAGUUCAGGCAUAUAGGAUGCCAGGUGUGGGCCUUAAAACAUGCACAUGCCCUCUGGCUCUUUCUCCUUCCUAUGACUGGAAUACUGAGAUGCUGAGGUCAGCCACAGGGCUUCCACAUGCCAGCAAGGAACAUGACCUAUAGGAUGUGGAGAAAGAAGAUGGAAAGAACCUGACUGGCAGGUGUUGCUGGGUCACCUACUAAUCUGGCAUGCUUGUCUUUGAUGUUGGCUGGGGGAGAAAUAAACAUCUUAUGUUUCCUCAGAUCCACUGGCUAUUGGGGCAUCUUUGUUACAGCAGUCGUUUCUGGCUGAACCAAUACAAGCAACCACUACAGGGAAAAUAGGUCUGG